GAGGAAUAUUGGUCAAUGGGUGCAAGCCUGAACCAGCCAUCCCGCGUGAAGGACGACUGCCCUAUGGGUUGUAAACUUCUUUUGUAUAGGGAUAAACCUACCCUCGUGAGGGUAGCUGAAGGUACUAUUCGAAUAAGCACCGGCUAACUCCGUGCCAGCAGCCGCGGUAAUACGGAGGGUGCAAGCGUUAUCCGGAUUUAUUGGGUUUAAAGGGUCCGUAGGCGGACUUAUAAGUCAGUGGUGAAAGCCUGUCGCUUAACGAUAGAACUGCCAUUGAUACUGUAAGUCUUGAGUAUAGUUGAGGUAGCUGGAAUAAGUAGUGUAGCGGUGAAAUGCAUAGAUAUUACUUAGAACACCAAUUGCGAAUGCAGGUUACCAAGAUAUAACUGACGCUGAGGGACGAAAGCGUGGGGAGCGAA
rnacentral:rRNA from 1 species